rnacentral:lncRNA from 1 species
GGGUCCCGGGCGGGCCGCGCCCCGAGCUGGGCUUGGCAGAGACCUCGCCCAAGUUCACGCCGGCCCGUUCUGGACUGUGCUCUGGAAGAGGUGGUGCUGGAAUCCCCUACCCCUACUGGAGCUGGACCGUCUGGGGACGGGACCUUGUAGAUGUGGCAGCCCCUGGCUUCAGUGAGCUGGGAGGCCCCGGGCAGCAAUUCCACUUCUGCCAGAAGUGGGGAAGACACUGGAGGAGCUGGGAGACAAAGUGAAGCCUGGCGUUGAAGAGUAAGUCCAUUGUUAACUCCCAGCUGGGGCAGUCACUCUGCCUUUGCAACUCUCCUGUAAAUCUUCAGUUUUUCCUCAAUAAAAUAAGUUUUUGAAAACCCAGGAAGUUGGCCUUUAUCUGCUCUUGACUGACUUCCAGUUCUUGCAGGCCUUUGCUCCUGUUUCCUA